rnacentral:rRNA from 1 species
CCUACGGGUGGCAGCAGUGGGGAAUAUUGGACAAUGGGCGAAAGCCUGAUCCAGCCAUGCCGCGUGUGUGAAGAAGGCCUUCGGGUUGUAAAGCACUUUCAGUGGGGAAGAAAGCCUUGGGGCUAAUACCCUCGAGGAAGGACAUCACCCACAGAAGAAGCACCGGCUAACUCCGUGCCAGCAGCCGCGGUAAUACGGAGGGUGCGAGCGUUAAUCGGAAUUACUGGGCGUAAAGCGCGCGUAGGCGGUCUGAUAAGCCGGUUGUGAAAGCCCCGGGCUCAACCUGGGAACGGCAUCCGGAACUGUCAGGCUAGAGUGCAGGAGAGGAAGGUAGAAUUCCCGGUGUAGCGGUGAAAUGCGUAGAGAUCGGGAGGAAGACCAGUGGCGAAGGCGGCCUUCUGGACUGACACUGACGCUGAGGUGCGAAAGCGUGGGUAGCAAACAGGAUUAGAUACCCCUGUAGUC